UAAAGAUUUUAUUUAUUUAUUUGACAGAGAGAGAUCACAAGUAGGCAGAGAGGCAGGCAGAGAGAGAGGAGGAAGCAGGCUCCCUGCUGAGCAGAGAGCCCGAUGCGGGACUCGAGCCCAGGACCCUGAGAUCAUGACCCGAGCUGAAGGCAGCGGCUUAACCCACUGAGCCACCCAGGCGCCCCUGCAAAGGAAUAUUUGAAUGUAAAGAGGACACAUUUAAAAACAUUUACCACUACUAUCACUUAUUUCCAGUGGAGAAGACUGAUUCUCCAGUUCAACACAGCCUCCUUCCUCUGCCUCUGUUUGGAGAGAUGAAACCACUCCCUUCUAGAAAGGGAGAGCUGGGCCCUGUCCCCACGUCGGAAGAUGGUUCAGCUGUUGACAGGAGUGGUGAAAUCUGCCUGAUCUACCAGACCAGCAUUGAUCAGUCCGAGAGGCAGAUUUGGAGGACUUUCUGACAUGGCGAUGUUUUCAGUCUGUAAAUGUUUUUUAGGAAACAGAAACCGACUGCAUGCCUGUGCUUUGUCUCCAGUGUUAAUUUUGUUUCUGACCCAGUAGGCUUCCAGUGGAGACCUGACACCUUACAAAAAACAUGUAUUUUAAUUUAAAAUGGAUCUUUGAGCCUGUAGCCCUUUGCCAAGUACAAUCUUUGAAUUUAUAAAA